AGAGUUUGAUCAUGGCUCAGGACGAACGCUGGCGGCGUGCCUAAUACAUGCAAGUAGAACGCUGAAGAGAGGAGCUUGCUCUUCUUGGAUGAGUUGCGAACGGGUGAGUAACGCGUAGGUAACCUGCCUUGUAGCGGGGGAUAACUAUUGGAAACGAUAGCUAAUACCGCAUAACAAUGGAUGACACAUGUCAUUUAUUUGAAAGGGGCAAUUGUUCCACUACAAGAUGGACCUGCGUUGUAUUAGCUAGUAGGUGAGGUAAUGGCUCACCUAGGCGACGAUACAUAGCCGACCUGAGAGGGUGAUCGGCCACACUGGGACUGAGACACGGCCCAGACUCCUACGGGAGGCAGCAGUAGGGAAUCUUCGGCAAUGGGGGCAACCCUGACCGAGCAACGCCGCGUGAGUGAAGAAGGUUUUCGGAUCGUAAAGCUCUGUUGUAAGUCAAGAACGGGUGUGAGAGUGGAAAGUUCACACUGUGACGGUAGCUUACCAGAAAGGGACGGCUAACUACGUGCCAGCAGCCGCGGUAAUACGUAGGUCCCGAGCGUUGUCCGGAUUUAUUGGGCGUAAAGCGAGCGCAGGCGGUUUGAUAAGUCUGAAGUUAAAGGCUGUGGCUCAACCAUAGUUCGCUUUGGAAACUGUCAAACUUGAGUGCAGAAGGGGAGAGUGGAAUUCCAUGUGUAGCGGUGAAAUGCGUAGAUAUAUGGAGGAACACCGGUGGCGAAAGCGGCUCUCUGGUCUGUAACUGACGCUGAGGCUCGAAAGCGUGGGGAGCGAACAGGAUUAGAUACCCUGGUAGUCCACGCCGUAAACGAUGAGUGCUAGGUGUUGGAUCCUUUCCGGGAUUCAGUGCCGCAGCUAACGCAUUAAGCACUCCGCCUGGGGAGUACGACCGCAAGGUUGAAACUCAAAGGAAUUGACGGGGGCCCGCACAAGCGGUGGAGCAUGUGGUUUAAUUCGAAGCAACGCGAAGAACCUUACCAGGUCUUGACAUCCCGAUGCUAUUUCUAGAGAUAGAAAGUUACUUCGGUACAUCGGUGACAGGUGGUGCAUGGUUGUCGUCAGCUCGUGUCGUGAGAUGUUGGGUUAAGUCCCGCAACGAGCGCAACCCCUAUUGUUAGUUGCCAUCAUUCAGUUGGGCACUCUAGCGAGACUGCCGGUAAUAAACCGGAGGAAGGUGGGGAUGACGUCAAAUCAUCAUGCCCCCUAUGACCUGGGCUACACACGUGCUACAAUGGUUGGUACAACGAGUUGCGAGUCGGUGACGGCGAGCUAAUCUCUUAAAGCCAAUCUCAGUUCGGAUUGUAGGCUGCAACUCGCCUACAUGAAGUCGGAAUCGCUAGUAAUCGCGGAUCAGCACGCCGCGGUGAAUACGUUCCCGGGCCUUGUACACACCGCCCGUCACACCACGAGAGUUUGUAACACCCGAAGUCGGUGAGGUAACCUUUUGGAGCCAGCCGCCUAAGGUGGGACAGAUGAUUGGGGUGAAGUCGUAACAAGGUA
rnacentral:rRNA from 1 species